GGGCUCGUGGUUUAGUGGUAUAAUACUCCCUUAGCAUCUCGCAGCUCCAUUGGAGCCUUCGAAAUCCUGACUGGGAGUGGUCCGGGGUUCGAUUCCCCGCGAGUCCA